GGUUUGAAAAGUCAGCUGUGAAAGCCCCGGGCUCAACCUGGGAACUGCGGUUGAAACUCUCAAGCUAGAGUGCGUCAGAGGGGGGUGGAAUUCCACGUGUAGCAGUGAAAUGCGUAGAGAUGUGGAGGAACACCAAUGGCGAAGGCAGCCCCCUGGGAUGACACUGACGCUCAUGCACGAAAGCGUGGGGAGCAAACAGGAUUAGAUACCCUGGUAGUCCACGCCCUAAACGAUGUCGACUAGCCGUUGGAGAUUUCGGUUUCUGGUGGCGCAGCUAACGCGUGAAGUCGACCGCCUGG
rnacentral:rRNA from 1 species